CAUAUGCCGGCGGGAAACCUCUGUAGAAAGACGAGAAGAAGAAGGAAAUUAAAGCAUCAUAUGUUAAAAUAUCAGGCCAAAAAACAAGCUAUGACUGCGCUAUCUAUGUUAUGAAGUGGCUUGAGUUAAUUGAGCCGGAAAACAUUAAAAAGGGGAAGUAUAAAUGGGAUAAUUGGAAACAGGAGGAGGCGGACCACUAUAGAGUGGAGUAUGCUUCCCGGAUACUAUUCAGUGAGAUGAAUAAACAGAGAGAUCAGGCAAUUAGAGAGAGUAGUGCUAUAAGGCUGUCGAAGCCAUCCUCUGUAUUAUUGAGUCCGUUUUGUCAGAUAAAUUCUGCUGAUAUAGAAACUGCGUAAUCCAACUGCUGGGUAGUUUGUAAAUUGAACAAAUGAUGUAAAUAUUUGCCAUUUAUCAACAACUUCUAUUCCAUGUA